GACGAACGCUGGCGGCGUGCUUAACACAUGCAAGUCGAACGGUGAAGCCCUUCGGGGUGGAUCAGUGGCGAACGGGUGAGUAACACGUGAGCAACCUGCUCCUGGCUCUGGGACAACCACUGGAAACGGUGGCUAAUACCGGAUACGACCCGCCUCGGCAUCGAGUGUGGGUGGAAAGUUUUUCGGCUGGGGAUGGGCUCGCGGCCUAUCAGCUUGUUGGUGAGGUGAAGGCUCACCAAGGCGACGACGGGUAGCCGGCCUGAGAGGGCGACCGGCCACACUAGGACUGAGACACGGCCCAGACUCCUACGGGAGGCAGCAGUGGGGAAUAUUGCACAAUGGGCGAAAGCCUGAUGCAGCGACGCCGCGUGAGGGAAGACGGCCUUCGGGUUGUAAACCUCUUUCAGCUCCGAAGAAGCGAAAGUGACGGUAGGAGCAGAAGAAGCACCGGCUAACUACGUG
rnacentral:rRNA from 1 species